CCAGCACCCCGAGUGGUCGGGACGAUUAUUGGGCCUAAAGCAUCCGUAGCCGGUUCUACAAGUCUUCCGUUAAAUCCACCUGCUUAACAGAUGGGCUGCGGAGGAUACUAUGGAGCUAGGAGGCGGGAGAGGCAAGCGGUACUUAGUGGGUAGGGGUAAAAUCCGUUGAUCCAUUGAAGACCACCAGUGGCGAAGGCGGCUUGCCAGAACGCACUCGACGGUGAGGGAUGAAAGCUGGGGGAGCAAACCGGAUUAGAUACCCGGGUAGUCCCAGCUGUAAACGAUGCAGACUCGGUGAUGAAUAGGCUUCGUGCCUAUUCAGUGCCGCAGGGAAGCCGUUAAGUCUGCCGCCUGGGGAGUACGGUCGCAAGACUG
rnacentral:rRNA from 1 species